CCUACGGGUGGCAGCAGUGGGGAAUAUUGGGCAAUGGGCGCAAGCCUGACCCAGCGACGCCGCGUGAGGGAAGACGGUCUUCGGAUUGUAAACCUCUUUCAGCAGGGAAGACAAAAGGACGGUACCUGCAGAAGAAGCCACGGCUAACUACGUGCCAGCAGCCGCGGUAAUACGUAGGUGGCAAGCGUUAUCCGGAAUUACUGGGUGUAAAGGGCGUGUAGGCGGGGAAGCAAGUCAGAUGUGAAAACCACGGGCUCAACCUGUGGCCUGCAUUUGAAACUGUUUUUCUUGAGUACUGGAGAGGCAGACGGAAUUCCUAGUGUAGCGGUGAAAUGCGUAGAUAUUAGGAGGAACACCAGUGGCGAAGGCGGUCUGCUGGACAGCAACUGACGCUGAGGCGCGAAAGCGUGGGGAGCAAACAGGAUUAGAUACCCCAGUAGUC
rnacentral:rRNA from 1 species